rnacentral:rRNA from 1 species
AAUUAGUAAAUUUUAUUAAUAUGUAUACUUUAAGUAAAAUAAUGAAUUAAUUUUUUUUUUAAACUGAAAAGGUAAUAAAUUUAAUUAGGAAAAAUAAUUUAUUAGUACCUUUGGUAUCAGGGUUUUUUAAUUAGUUAAAUUAGUUUAUUUUCCCGAAUAAAAAAUUUUUAUAAUAUAAAUUUAGUAGUUGUUUCAAAACCUUUAAGCAUUAUAUUAUAGUAAUUAUAUGUUAUUCGUUUUUUUUAUUUCUGGUUAUUAAGGAUAUAAUUCAAUUAUACAUUUAUUUUCAUUAUAGUUCUUUCCUGUUUUUAAGUGUUAUGGAAUUAGGGAUAAUCUUAAUUUUAGAUUACAAUUAUUUAUAUAUAAAAAAUAUUAUCUUUAAAAUUUUGAAUAUAGUUUGUACUUAAUUAAUUUUUUUUUAUAUGAUUUUAUUAUAAUUUAUUUUUUUUACUUAAUUUUUUUAAAUAAUAAUUAUUUAAAAAUAAUACUGAAUGAAUUAGUAUAAAUUUAAAAAUUUAAUUGAAUGAAUUAGACAAAAUUAAAUUCCAACUGUUUAACAAAAACAUUUCUUUUUGAUUACUAUAAAAAGUAUUUUCUGCCCUAUGGGAUUAACUAAAUGGCUGCAGUAUUUUGACUGUGCAAAGGUAGCAUAGUAAUUAGUUUCUUAAUUAGAAGCUGGAAUGAAUGGAUAUAUGAGAAUUUGUUUUUAUUAAUUAAAAAUUUAAAAUUUUAAUUUUAAGUAAAAAUGCUUAAAUUUUUUCUUGGGACGAUAAGACCCUAUAGAACUUUAUAAUCUUGAGAUCAUUUAAGUUAAAACAAAUUUUUAGUGUUAUCAAGCUUAUUUAGCUGGGGUGGUGUUUAAAUUAAAACUUUAAUUAAGUUAUUCAUUUAUUAGUGUUUUUUAUGAUCUUUAUUAAAAAUUAAAAGAUUAAGUUACCUUAGGGAUAACAGCGUAAUUUUGAUGGGGAGUUCAUAUUUAUAUCAGUUUUUGCGACCUCGAUGUUGAAUUAAGAAAAACUUAAGAAGCAGAAUUCUUAAAUUUUAAGUCUGUUCGACUUUUAAUAUCUUACAUGAUUUGAGUUCAAACCGGCGUGAGCCAGGUUGGUUUCUAUCUUAGAAAAUUAAAAUAUUUAUUUAGUACGAAAGGACCAAUAAAUAAUACUUUUUGUAUUCAAUAUUUAAAU